GACGAACGCUGGCGGCGUGCUUAACACAUGCAAGUCGAACGGAAAGGCCCUGCUUAUGUGGGGUGCUCGAGUGGCGAACGGGUGAGUAACACGUGAGUAACCUGCACUUGACUGUGGGAUAACUUCAGGAAACUGGGGCUAAUACCGGAUAGGAGCUCCUGCUGCAUGGUGGGGGUUGGAAAGUUUCGGCGGUUGGGGAUGGACUCGCGGCUUAUCAGCUUGUUGGUGGGGUAGUGGCUUACCAAGGCUUUGACGUGUAGCCGGCCUGAGAGGGUGACCGGCCCCAUUGGGCCUGAGCUACGGCCCAGCCUCCUCCGGGAGGCAGCGGUGCGGUAUAUUGCCCAGCGGGCGGAAGCCUGAUGCAGCACCGCCGCGUCCGGGAUGUCGGGCUUCGCUUUGGAUUCCGCUUUUGUCUGUGACGAGGCGUUAGUGACGGUAAUGGGUAAAGAAGCACCGGCUAACUACGUG
rnacentral:rRNA from 1 species